CCGCGCUGCCCGGGCGGACGGGGCCGUUCCUGUCGGAUUCCGGCGAACCUGUAAUGAAUGACAGGACGAUCGAGCUCCUUGUGUAGCUAACUAGGUCACUGUCAGCACUUAAUUACUGUUUGUUUCAUUUUAGUGCGUGCCUUAUGAAUAAACCGGCUAUUAGGCUGAUGCUUCAAGUAACAUUAUCCAGCACCAAGGAUGUGCACCUUCCUCAUUUCAACUUUAUGGUGUUGCUACUCAGGAAAUAAAACGGAGGGAAAUUUUGGCUGCGUAAACACUAUUGAAAAUACCCAAGUGUUGAUUAAACACUUUUAAAAAUGCUAUCUCUUUGGGUCUGUUUGCCCCCAAACUUUGUGCUGCAUCCAAAGACCUAAAAUUUGGAGUCUGCAGGCCUUGGAGAUGGAGAGAAGUUGAGCAUAGAGUCUGCUGAGUAUUUUCAAGACUGAGAUUUGGAAAGAAGUUUCUCUCAUCCACUUAUGAAGAAUCUAAUAUAGGACCUUUUGGAACAUGGCACAUCUAUAUUUAGAAUUUUUUUUUUACCUAUAUCCUUUUUUCCCCCCUUUAUUUUUAUAUGGACAAGUUUUAAAAUAAUUGCAUAUAUGAAAUAAAUUCCACAUCUAAAGUCUUGCAAAUAAGGGAUGUUGUAGGAGUGGUAUGCUUCCUACAUGUUUUCAUAUAGAUGAGAGGGACAGAGGACAUGAUAUCAUAGGCUUUAUUUUGGUAAGAUUAGUGUUUUCAGUCAAUAUUAAACCUGAAUACUGAAGUACCAAAACACUGCCUUGUCUGCUGCUGCCCUCCCAUAGACCUAUCAGUUUUAGCUCUCUGUACUUCUCAUCCAUUUUAGAGUUCUUUCCAUCUUCCACUUCCUUGGCCUCUUUUCAGUAGCACUUUGCCACUGGAGCUACAGAAUAUCUAUCUGGAGAUUCAUGACACCCCCGUAAAUGUGGAGAGGAGAAGCAAAGUGCAGUUAAUCCCAGAUUUAAUUUUAUGUUGCAAACAGUAAAGUUAAGCAACUGAAAAAGAAGUACAGACUUUUAACUGUUGAUUUUCAAUUAGAAUUCCUUCCCUUCCCCAUGCAAUUAUAUCAAAUCCAUGCUGUACUUUAGGAAAAUGGGAAUAAAGAGAGAUAGCUCUUCUAACAGCUCACAGUAGAAUUUUUACCAUUCCAGUGAUGCAGAAGGGUUUGUCUGGAGCCCAGAAUAGUGCAGCAACAACAUCCUCACACCUCCUCUGUCUUCAACAGCUAAUGGCUCAGUUUUUGCAGAAUAGUGCAAUGGCUAAUCCUGUGUAAGAGUCCCAGUACGUGUGUGACUAAAUUUCUUGAAAGCCUUGGAAGGCUCCAGAAGGACAAGUCAAAUGCUUCUGCAUAUGAAUGAAAAGAUAUGUGCAAUUUAGACCUUGAGACAAGCUCAGAGUAGUCAAGCUCAGAGUAGUCAAAGUUAAGUAAAUUAAUGUUAUUCAGUGAAAAACCUUAAGACAUAAAAAAGAAUCUGCAUUUAUUAUGUGAGUAAAGCAGAGGAUAUGGGAAGUCAGGAAUGGAAAUGAAGAAACAGGAUAACUUAUAUUUCCCUCUUUUAAAAGCAAAAUGUCAUAUUUUAGGUAAAAGUCCAUACUUUUCUAGCCCAGCUGUUGUGCUUCACAUGAAACUGAGAAAUACUAUAUAAAGCGCUUGCUGUUAUGAUAGGAUUUCUCUCUUGUUUUACUGCAGUUCCCUUCUAAACCAGGGCCUAGUUCUGCAAUUCAUCUAUAAUAAAAGGAGCCAGGUGCUUCAGAACUGCCAAGACUGAACUGGGAGGGCAGCAUCACAAUUUUUCUUUAACUGUAGUCAUUGGUGUUUCACAUACAGUUAACAUCCACUAAAGUUUUUAAUUUCACUGAAGAUCCUUCAAAUAAUUUUGAUUUUUUUUUCCAAAUAGCAAUUUGAAGUUUUAUUUGUCUUAAGUGGUAGAAGAAAAAUCAAGACCAGCUAAUUAUUAAAAAUGGAGAUACUAAACAUGACUUUUCAACUGAUACCAAACUAAUUUUCACACAGAGUAUUUUUCUAUUUCAAGAGAACUUUCCUGUAAUCUAAAAAAAUAACUGCAUAUUUGUGAAAUCUUCAAUAACAUUAUGGGAUUUUUAAUGUAUAAAGUUGUGCAUGGAGGUAACUGAAAGACCUUUGCUUAAGAAUGUAAAUGCUUCCUGGCAGAGACUCUGUCACCUUCAGGAUUAACAAUUUCCCAUUACUCAAGCUCAGAGACGUUUCCCUUUUUUGUGUAGGAUAUGAUUUAAGGAGCGCCCCACACAAGUUUCUCUUGGGGACAGUGCUGAGCUGCUUAGACCUCAGCAGAUCUUGAUCCUGAAGAAGGGCACCAUCGACCAUCAGGGCUGAGCAACAAACUGCACUUGGUGCCACUGGAACCAUGCUCAUCUGAAUCCUGGGUCCUGGCUCAUGGGAAACACUGCCUGUCCUUCCUUGGGUUCUUCAGGUGUGCACCCUGGGAGACCACUGUCCCUACGGGUUCCAUAUUCAUGGAACUGAAUUUGGCUGGCUGGACUCUUCACCUCACCCAGGCUUGUGUCAAACCUCAUUCCUCCCUUCAUCUUUCUCAUUGGAGACAAGGGGAACAGAUGCAUACAAUUGAUAUUUUUAUUUGUCAUUGAAAUAGCUAUGUUUGGGUCCAGUGAUAUGUGAAUUUAGGUGACUUUGCAAGCUGCAACAGUAGAGACUGAUGCACUGUAAAUGUAAUAGGUGCUUACUCAAUGAAUGGGGAAAAGAGACAAAAUUUUGGAGGCUUCACUGGAGUGUAAAUUCUAGACUUGGAUACCUAUGCUCCUGCAUAUAUACAUGCCCUAUAGAUUUCAGCACAGGGUAGAGGUUAUCUGAAGUUAGCUUUAAAUAAUAUUGGUCAGUUAUUGGAAUGGAUCUGGCCUCAGUAACAGGCCACUCUGUCCAUGGAACGUACUGGCAAGAUGCUCUGCCUUCUCAAAAUCUUGUAGCUUCUACUUUUUGCAGUCAGUUGCUUAAAGCAAGACCAAUAGGACUGAUAUUUUUCAGACUGUGACUCACAGCAAAGUCCUGGAACAUAUUACAACACUGAGUUAUAAGGCAAAAACUCAUUGUUAUCUGUAAAAAAAGGUAAACAGUGGUCCAGCCCACUGAAAACUGCACCAUCCAGCAACCUGUUGAUGUACCUAAAUUUUCCAAGGCUGUAGCUCUUUAGAAUGUGUUUAUAUGAAAAACACAGUAAAAUGAAAAUAACUUUGAUAAACAAUCAAUCAUUUUUUUAAACUGAGAAGCUUGAAAGGAAAUAGUUGCAAGAAGCAAAAAUCUUCACAGAUUUUUGUUAUAUUUUUAAAAUCAGGACCUCUAUUCUGGCCAUUCAUGUUCUCUAAUGAAGCUCAGGCACAUGUUCAGAGUGGUUUUACAGGUACAUUUCCUUACAUUCAAUAGACACAAUAGAUUUUAAACAGUUUCAUAGCAACAGAUGGUUCAUUAUGACCAUUAACCUAGAUAAGUGAGUAUCAAUUUGGCACAGCCUUCAUGGUCCAUAGUGGUCUGUGGGUAAAAAAAUAUUUCUCUUCAUCUGAGUACCUUCCUGAGAGAUACUUUUUCAGUUUUGGUUUUGGCUCCACUCUUUUUCCCCCUUUGUUUUUACAAAGCAUGUUCAUGUGAAUUCUUGCAUUCAGGAAAAAAAAUUGUACCCAAGAGCUUUGUGGUAAGAACAUUUACCACAAAAAAUAUUUGUUUCUCUGAAAUGUAGUAGCCAUAGUAUAUCCUAUCAGGUAAUCAGAAAUUUUAAAUUUUGAAUAUAUACCUUGACAGCAGCUAAACAGACAUUCCUAGAUAGCUGAGAUUUUUAAAUGAUUGUUGCUACACCCAUUGGAAUUUAGAAAGGCUGUUUCAUUUGCUGAUUUUAUUAUUAAAUCGCUCUAUGCUGCUGGGACAUGUCAUAGCUCUUCUGUGAGACAAAAAAUACUAUUAAUGCCAUGGUAGAGGAGGACCCCAUGGCAAUACCUAAUGAUGGAGCUAACACAAAGUUGGGAAGAGCAGAACCCAAGCAUUCUGGGAAGUGCAGAACUGGGAUAUAAGGAUCAGAGCUGGUUUGCUCUGUUCCCCAGAGCCACAAAUAUCUUGACACCAGACCAAUUGUGUCAGCAGAGGCUGCUGAUGGCGGCACGGUGCUGGCUGUUGGAGGAAGACAGCACAUCUUGGAGGGAAGGACACCACCUCUCAAAGUGGCAUAAGCCACUGCCCCCUGCUCUUAAAGAGCAUGGUAAUCUAGUGUGUAUGAGUGUAAUCUAGGGCUUAUGAUUUACUUACCCCACACAUUUGCCAUUGGUGAUGUAGCCAUGUAGGAAGACUUGCAGCACACAUGUGGGCUUAUUUCCAUCCCUGAGAUUCAGCUAGGGUUUACUAUAUAGUAACAGAAACUCGUGUUUUAAAAAUAGUGCUUUAAUAUACUGUGGCACCCUACAUAAUAUUUCAGACUGAUUCUAUGGUGAUGCAUAUUUGUGUGAAUCUUAAUGAGAUCCCUUCUCUGUUGUCUCUUCUUCAAGCUAACCAGGCCCAACUCACUCAGACAAUCCUCAUAAGAGGCUAGUAUCACUCCUAGAAUAGAAUAAUGCUCCAUUUCUCUUGUCACCUUUGUAGCCCUCUGCUGGACCCUUUCUGGUAGUUGCUUGUCUUUCUCUUAUCCUUGUCUUUCUUGAUUUGACAUCAAGUAUCUUCUUUCACAUGGAUUUAUCCGUUUGUUUGGGGAUGCACAUGUGUAUGUGUGUUUGUGUAUGUGUGUGUGUGUCCAUGUGUGGCUGAGGUUAAUCAAUUUUUUCUUGUUUCUACUUGGUCACCAUCCACACCUAUUCGUACCACACACCAGGUUUGAAUAGUGGCCGCCAUGUAGCUGAAAAUGAGUGGGGCUUUUAAGGAGCCUGCCUGUGCUAGACACUUUGUUGGCUACUGUGGGAUAGUGAGGGAUUGUCUUGGCCUCGCAAAAGGCAUUUGUAUUUGUUAGAUGGAAAAAAGACAGUAAAGCUUUCUAAAAGUUAAUGUGUUGGAUUUAUGCGACUAUAGAGGAUCAUGAGAACACUUUGGUCAUAAGCAGUAAGGAACUUUUAAUGAGACUUUUUGAAGUUAGUUUGGACUACAAUUUUAAUAUCCUUAGUGAAGUCAUCAUGUUUUUAAAAUAAUUUACAAAGUUUACUGUGACCUUAGCACAUUACUAAAAUAGAAUUAUGUAAAAAUAAAUGAAUUUAUGUUGGACUGAUGAAAUAAGAUAUUUUAGAAGAGCAGUAGAAUACACAAGUAUAUAAGCAAAACAGUUUCAGUAUGUUUAAGAAAUAAUUCUUCAGACUUUUCCCCAAGAUGACACCUUUGCUUUCUGUGGAUCACCUUCUCCUGUCAGUGUAAAGAUGCUAUGUCUUUAAACCAUUAUUGGUGUUGUGAUUUAGGAAUGGCAUUUCCCAGUUUAGUGUUCUCAUUGAAACACUCUAAACCAUGUGCCACUCACUCAUUCCCCUGUUCCCCUCUCCCUCCCCUGUGGUGGGAUGGAGAGGAGAAUUGGAAAAGCAAAAGGUAAACAUCACAGACUGAGAAAAGAACAAUUUACUGAAAGAAAUUUAAAUUUACUGGCAAUGAAAUUAAAAAAACACCCCUGCAAUGAACUGUAACAAUAGCAAUAUCACACAUAAAUGGUCACCAUGCAGAGCCCCAACAACACCCAAGCACUCCCUCCAGCACACCAGGUGAUCCAGAAGGGACCCCUUUCCUCUGGGAAAUCAUGUGAGGUGGUACAGAAUAACCUGUGGGUCCUGCCCAUGUCCCUCCUGGUUACUGCAACAACUAAACCUGUCCCUUGCCAGAACCAGGACAAAUGGGAGUGAGAAACCUCUUGCAAUGCCCUACUUCCAGUCUACUUCUGGAGUUAGUUUUAGUGAGCAGGGACAGGUGCAACUAGCAGAUGUAUCAAGUGUCCAUUAAACUUCAUACAAUCUCAGCUGGAUCUGGUGAUCUAAAGUCUUUAACAUCUCUAUGACUUCCACUGUUCUAGAUUUGUUUCAAAUUGUCCAAGAGGUUGAAAAAUUACCAGGGAAAUUGGGGUAAUAGUUGAGUGAAUGGAUAAUGUGCCUGCAUAAGCCUCAUUUCCUUAGGACAUUAUACAACAAAAUGAAAAAUCUGCUGGAUGGGGACAUUUUCAAUAUUUAGCAGUAUAGAUGUUUUGUUUCAGCUGUUAAUCUUACUGCUAGUUUGUGGAGAGAAGUUAAGUUUGCUUAACAGGAAAUAGAGCUAAUCAGUCUUCAUCAUGCUUGGCUUUUUCUUUGGAAAACAAAUAAGAGUUAAACCGACAAUAUUCUAUCUCGAGUUAUCUGUAGUUAGCAUUUCUGAUCAGAACAUCCAGUUCUUUCUUCUCUCUUUCCUUUUAAAAUUAUGUUUUUAUUUCAACCACUUUCUACCAGCAGGCAAAGCUGCUGUUACACUGUACCCAGCUGUGAAAUCAAUAUGAUUUUCAUUACAAAGAUAACAGAAACUCUCUUAGAAAGACUGUGAAUUGCCAAAGGUCAAAUAACAGUCAGUGGCACAGUUUAGAAUUUAGAUGCACUAAUUAAAAAAUUCUGUGGUAUAAAUAUAUUAAUGAAAUGCACCCUGAGAAAUGUUUGCAUUUAAGAUGGCAACAAUUUUAAGAUAUUACAUUGUUUCUUUAAUUACUGUAGUUCAUGUAAGUCACAUCAAACUGUGAUGGGUUCUUUCUCUGGUUGAUGAUAAUUUCUUAUAAAAAUAAGUAUUAGCUCUUGUUUCCUGUUUUAAUUCACAAAUAUUUGAGCUUGAUUAGACUAGAAAGUGUAACAGGCACAGAAGACAGAACAUAUCGAGUAUGAUUUUUGUCAUAUUGAACUCUAAAAAUUACACAUACUCCAAAUGAAUGGGUGCAUCAGUUAUUUCUGAGAUAUGUGACUUCAUUAGGAGCAAGAGGAAGUGCACCAUCAAACUGAAAGCAGUACUUGAGUCUUUCAGCCAAAGCAGCCAGUUCUAUUAAAUUAAAAUCCAGAUUUUAAAAUAAAUGUUAUUACUCUUUCCAAGAUCAUCCUUGAUCCCUUCUUUUAAACCUCAAUUUUUUCAGCAGUUAAGUUGCAUUUGCCUUAUUACAAAUGAAAAUAUCAAGAAAUAAAUUCUUUUACUACUUGUAUUUGUUUGACAUUCCUCUCUCACAUCUCUCUAUUUUUAGUUAAAUUCUGUCUCUUCCAUGCCAUGUGCUAAAACAGUAAACUCAGAUUGCCAGUUAUUGUGGGUUUUAAUAGAAAAUUUCCUCACCUUAGGGCUGAGGAUUUUUUGCGUUACUGUGCUCCCUCUGCUGGAUAGUACCUGUUAAUUUUUCGUUCCCUGAGCUGUACUAGUCUCCAUGUUCUGUAAACAAGCAAUCACGCUGCCUUAAAGAAAGAGGUAUAAAAAGUGGGAGUGCGUCAUGUUGAUCUCCGAUAACAUGGAAGGUGACAUCUGUAGGCUAGGAAAAAUCCUAUUGUCGGGCAGCUCAAAAAGCCUUCAGCAGACAUUUGAGGAAUAGUAAUUUACUAUCUCUUGAGCAAAACCAGAUGGACACUAAAUAACCUUCUUUCAUUUGUAUAACUUAGAGAGGGUGACGUUGCUUCUCAUACUUUGGUAAGUACAACCGUAUCCUCAAAUGUCCCUGUAAUGUUAUUAGUGUCUGAGUCUAGUGGCAUGGUUCUCAUAACUUGCUUCAUCCUUUGGCAAAUCUUACAGAGUCACUGCUGGGCCAGUGUUUGCUCAGUGGAAAAAGCAAACGUGCUCUCAUGCUCAGUGCCAGCCCCACAGCAAGGUGGUGAGAAUACGAUCCUUUCCUGUCCCCACUGCAGUGGGGCAAAAAGGAGGAAGAGCAAUACUUCAGUUUUGUUUCUAGAGGUGAUUUUGGUCUUUGAGGCCUUUGACUUCAUGGGGUGCUUUGGGCUUGUUCUCAUGCUCACCUUUCUCUGGCUGCUGUCACACAGUGAACCUGGCUUUGUCUGUCCUUCCUUCCUUCCUGCCUCCCUCCCUCCCUUCCCAGUGGGAUGUGGCUUGGGUGGGCACUCCCAGCAUAACUGAUUGAAUGUCACAGUCAUCUCUCAUUUGACCCUGGAACCUCCUGGCACUCCACCCCUCCAGGGCCCACCCCAGCUUCCCCACGGAGCACUGCCCAGAUCAAACUGUGUUUCACAGCCUCCCAGCACUUAGCUCUGUGCUGGCUGACCCAGUUGGUUCUAUGGAAAGGAAAAGGAAAGUCAACAUCCACUUCAGUUGCAGGUGGAUUUUCCCCAUCUAAGCUACUUCUAACCAGAUCUUGAGCCAUGGUUUUGCAAGUAAGCCUGAUACAUUUGCAGUUUCCUUCAAAUUUAAUGUAAUGUUAUAAAUGUAUAAUGUUAUAAAUGUUAUAAUUGUAUAAUGUUAUAAAUGCUACUGCGUAUUAGUAACAACAACUGGGAUUGUCUGUUUAGCUUGGCAUGACUGCCCUUAUAGAUUGGUCCACAUUUCUCCCAUAUGUUAAAAUAUAUCAGGCUGGUAGCUUAUUAAUGAAAAUAAAUAAAAAAUUGCCAAUUGUUAGGGACAGCAAUUUAUUUUGUUUAAUUUACCAUUUAUUUAAUUUACCAUUAUUAUAUAAUGGUAACUUAAAUUAAGUAUCAUUAUUUACUGUUAAUAUUUAUUUAAUUUAAUGUUGUUAUAUAAUGGUAACUAUUUGACUCCUGGUUCAACUAGGAGAUUUGUUUUGGGAAAAGGCAUUAUGGGCAAAUUCUAGUUAAGAAUUUUUUUUCUCAGUUCAGUUUUAAAUUUCAAUAUCUGGACAUAUAAAUUAAUUUUCCAGGUCUUUAAAUCUCCCAAACGGUCUUACAGUGAAGUAAUGAACCUAAUUAUUUUCUCUGAUUCUCACUAAUAAAUUAAACCAACUUCCAUCUACAUGUACGCUUUCUUUUACAAAAGAAGGUGCUUUUAAAAACCAUUUUUAAAAGAAAAAACUGGUUAGAAGAAUAAGUUUCCAAUCCCUAAAACCUUCAGUUCUUCCUGUUUAGAAGAAAAGAGUUGCUUGGUACAUUCUUCUUUUCCUAAAUAAUAAAAGCUUUUGCUGUCGAAUAGAUGUUUUUCCUUAAUUUUGCAAGGCCUAAAUAAAGUCAGCAUUAGUAUUUGCACAACAAUUUGUCCUAGGGUCAAUUGAUGACAGUUUUGCUGGUGGUGGGGCUGGGCUGAGGAGGCUGGAAAGGACUUCUGCAAAAGGAACCCUUAAUGCUGAGGCUUCCAGGAUGAGGCUGGAAAUCUUUUGCCUCAGAUGUCCAUUGAGUUAUAGCAACUAAAACACUUGACAGUGCUUGUCUCAGCAAGAGCAUACACCAUAUGCUCUGGGACUAUUCCCAAACAGAAUUCCUAUCCUCCUAGUGCCACAGCAAGCUCAUUAAUACCCCAGUUACCCAUUCAGUGGGACUAAUCCUGCAGGCCCAGAAGUCAGUGAGGAGAUUCAAGUUAUCUUUAGGAUGCUUGAAUAAAACCUUAGACUGCAUUUGCAUGAUUUAAGUCACACCACAGGAAUUAUUUUCCAAAGUUUUAAAUGCUUGCUAAUUUGCCAGUUUCUUUAUUCCAAGCUACUUGUUUUCCUCCAUCUUAUGAGGAGCAGUGAUAUGAACUGGAAAAGGGAAUACAUUUGUGUAUUUGUACAUUUUUGCUAUUUUCCUAAGUUUUUUCCAAAGAACCACUAGAAUAAGCUUGCAAUGGAAUUGUAACUCAAAUGCAAAUAUAUAUGUUAAACAAGUUUUUUUCUCCAAAUAUGUGACCAGUUCAUGGGAAGAUCUGUGGAAAUUUCAUAGUUGAUGUGCAUAAAGAAAAUGCCAGUUUAAGCUGCUGUAGUUCUCAGUCAAUUCCAGUCAUUCUUUAUUGCUCUAUGGCCACACAAUAAAUUUAAUUGAAAAUUAAUCUUAUUAUAUGUAAGAGAAGAAGAACUGGUAUUUGCCAAAAAGAACCCCCCUUCAGGUCCCAAUGUUUUUCCAGACUAUGUUUCUUCAUAUGUUGGAAAAUUUUCUUUUCACUCCUAUGCAUUUUAACAGCAGUUUUGAGGAUUUUUUUGUUGGAAAAAAAGAUAAUUAGGUAUGCGGGAAGUGAGAAGGAAUGAACCUACAAGCUAUACAGACAAAAGAUACUAUUUCAUGUAAGUAUAUUUAUGGUAGUGGGAGGGAAACUUAGAUCAAACUUAGAUCAAGAAGAAAAGACUGGAGAGGAUCUACUCCAGAUUCCACCGAUGUGAUAACAACUGCUAUUACUGUACCCAGCUUUUUGAAUUGAAUAUUGAUAGAAAUAAGUGAAUAAAAGUCUGAGUAAACUGAAA